GGAUGUGAGGGUGAUCUGGCUGCGACAUCUAUUACCCCAUUGAUUGCCAGGGUUGAUUUGGCUGAUUUGGCUGGCUAGGCUGGUGUUCCCUUCCUCCCUCACCGCUCCAUCUGCAUCCCUCCUGAAGCUGCACACCUGGUCAAAGAGGAUGACCUUCCCUCAUAGAGGCGUACUGUUCAUCAGUCUAAGGGUGUAGAGUAGCUGCGCUCCCCUGCUAGAACCUCCAAACAGGCUCAAGGUUCAUUUGUAGGAAAGCAUAUGGUAGUCAAGCUUCCAAGACUGCAGACACAGUUGUAAAGAGUUUCCACUCUUUAC
rnacentral:snRNA from 1 species